CCUACGGGCGUCAGCAGUGAGGAAUAUUGGUCAAUGGCCGUAAGGCUGAACCAGCCAAGUAGCGUGAGGGACUACUGCCCUAUGGGUUGUAAACCUCUUUUAUGCGGGGAUCAAGGUGUCCACUUGUGGCUGUUUGCAGGUACCGCAUGAAUAAGGACCGGCUAAUUCCGUGCCAGCAGCCGCGGUAAUACGGAAGGUACGGGCGUUAUCCGGAUUUAUUGGGGUUAACGGGAGCGUAGGCCGGUCUUUAAGCGUGCCGUGAAAUUUUGGGGCUCAACCAUGGGAGCGCGGCGCGAACUGGAGACCUUGAGUGCGAGGAAGGCAGGCGGAAUUCGCGGUGUAGCGGUGA
rnacentral:rRNA from 1 species